rnacentral:tRNA from 1 species
GGAUUGUGGCUCAGUGGUAGAGUGUUUGCUUCCCACGCAUGAGCCACUGGGUUUGAUCCUCGGCACCA